CAGGAUCCGCAGCGAGUAAGCCACCCCACUCCCGGAGCUGGGGGAGAACCAGCUUCCAGUCCCAGGAGACCUUCCCUCCAGGAUGGGGACCCGGGCCACCUCUCCAGCUCUGUUCUGUAGGAGACUCGCUAGUGGCUGGGUCUCCAAGCCAGACCUCUGGGGCUGUCCCUGGGAACUGUGGGUCCCAAGGACCCAUGUGGUUGCGUUCCCAGUCGGGGCAGGGGUGCCUCUGGAGAGCUCCUUCUGAGGAGGGACUUUGUUUUCAGGGAAGAAGGCAGGGCAGAGGUCGUCUCCUCCUCCAGAGUGGGCCUUCUCUCCAGCCUGUCUCUUCCAGGGCAGGGGGCACAGGGUGGACCAGGCCGGGGUCCCUCUCCACUGCCCCCACUGCUCUGUCUUUGUGCUGGGAGUGCUCAGCACAGCUUGUGUGUGGUGGAUCCCCAGGAGACCUGCUGUGCCCUGGAUCUGACCACAGUGAGCAGAAAGCCUUUUUCUCUGGGAGAGCCGUCGGAUAGGCCUGCUGGUGGAAGGGAAGGCUGACACUGAGAUGCGCAGGUUAUUACAAGAUAUUGACUGUGCAGUUCUGUGCCAUGAAGGCUGAGUUCACUUUCCAUGUGUCUCUCAUUAUUUGCCAAUCUUUGGUUAAGCAUGGUUUUCCCUCACGAGACCAAGAAACCCUCCCGGGUCAGGACAGUGUCUUGUCCAGGUUGGUGCCAUCCUGACUCAGCGCCUGGCACAUAACAGAGGCUCAGUGAAUAUUGUCCAGUGAAGAGGUCCCAGGUGCUGACAACAGCUCUGUCUUCAGAACAGGAGCUCCAUGCGGGUAGGAACUUGGUUUCGUUUGUGGCUCUGACUGCAUGCUUACAAUGCCUGGCACAUCAAGACUGGCAGGUAAAUGUUUGCUGGAGGACUGGAUGCUAUGAAUGACUGCCUCAGUUUGGUCUGGCUGCUAUAACAGAAUACUACAGACUGGAAAGCUUAUAAACAACAGCAGUUUAUUUCUCAAAGUUCUGGAGGCUGGAAGUUCUGGGUCAAGGCAACAGCAGAUUUGGUGUCUGGUAAGGGCUUGCUACCUGGAUCACAGAUGGCUGUCUUCUGUCUGUGUCCUCACGUGGAGGAAGGGGUGAGGAACCUCGCCCAGGUCCAGUUUGUCAGGGCACUAAUCCCACUCACAGGGGCUGCACCCUCAUGACCUAAUCACCUCCCACAGACCCCACCUCCUCAUACCUUCACCUUGAGGGUUAAGGAUUCAACUUGAACUUUGGGAAACACAAACAUUCAGAACAUAUCAGUGACUGAAGAAGCUCUAAUAGAUUUGCAGGCUAUCUCUCCAGGAAGAAAACCUGCCAGUGUCACUGCCCCAUUGAAAGGUGCAAAUCACGCUGGGCUUGUGGAAACAAGGAUUAGGACACAGUCUCAGGAGUCUUGGUACCAGGGCACAGAGACCUCAACCAAAUAGCCCUAGGGAAUUUAAACAAUUAUUUUCAUCAGUCACUGGAUUUCUUUUCAAAACCUUCACAUGCCAAGGAGGAAAAAAAAAUAGAGAGAUUGUUUAUGAUCUUUGGUCCUUUUUUUUUUUAACCUUGAAGCUGAGUGAACAAAAACAAUGGAGCUCACCCCAGAAGAAUGUGGAGAGUCACAUUUGGUGUUUCACCCAAGUGUAUCGGCUAUUGGGGAAUGAAGGAGGAAAUAUAUCAUGGAGUGGUAUUGACCAGUGUGGGUUUACUGAGAAUUUGGCCAGGUUCAAAGGACAUUUGACAUACAUGGCUUGCCACCCUCUUCUAGGACCAGGAUAAAAGAACCACAAAUAUCUCAUCAUUUCAUUGAACCUUGGUCUCCUCAUCUGGAAAAUGGGGUGACAAAGACCCACCUUGCAGUGUUUGAGGAUGUAACAAACUGGUGAGUGGGAAGUGCCUUGUAGACCAUCAGGUGUCUUACAAAUGCAUUACUGCUUUCAUCACAAAAGGGUUGGAAUUCUGUGCGGUGAAGAUAACAUAUACUAAUGGCAGGAUAAUUUCCUGAGAUAUCUCUUUGGAAUUUGUUCUUACUGUAUUUUUCCCUCUCUCAUUACAGGUAAGAUAAUUAGGCCUUUGGGUGUCCUUUUUUCAGGGGUCUUUGGACUGUGGGAUUCAAAGCAGGAGUUCUUCAAGCUCCUUCUCUCUCCCCUUCUGGCCUGGCUUUAGAGAAGCUUGUGCUAAUAGGAGAGGGAGGCAAUGGGGGAGGCUGGGGAGCAGAAGGGGAGGGAAGGGGAGAGCGGACUGAAGAGGUUCUCCCAGACCUAAAAGAGAAGCAGUUUGGGCUUCCAGGCUCUUGUUCCCUUCUGUCCCACGGUUCCAGGGUAGAGGCAAAGCCUUGAUGGGCCCAGGGACCCACAUCUUCUGCAUAGGCCACAGCCCAGGAGCAGGUGAGCAGCUGGCCUAUUGGGACCUUGCACUGUGAAGACAUCCAUAGCCAGAGACCCUUACAGCGGCUCCACUUCCAAACCUUGGGCCCUUCCAUGGCCCCCAGGUGGGUGUCCCAUAGCCAUUUCCAGGAUGGGCCCUAUUGGCUCAUGACUGAUGGGGUAAAUUUCUCCACCAACCUAGUAGCCUAGAUACUCCUAAUCCAAAUUCAUUUGUUUUUGGAAAGAUCAUGUGACAUUUCUCUCAUGCCCAUGUUUGUGGAAUAAAACCCAUUACCAGCUCCAUGGAGAACACAAUAUCUAAUAAAUGCCCUUGGACCGAAAUGUUACGUAAAUAGCAACACUUGAAAGAGACAUAUCCUGAAAGAACCUGUAGACAUCAGGAAAUCGCUGUCCUAUUUUUGCUUCUGGCACCAACAAGCUCUGUAACCUUAAGUCACUUUCUCCAUCUGUGCUUCUGUUUUAUUUAUUGGUUAAAUUGAAGGGAACUGGGCUAAAGUCCUGGUCCACAUUGCUGCAAAUUUAGAAUGGACUGGGGAAAGAUGAAAUAGUCAUGAAACUAUCUUCUUAACUCAAGAUGUCGUUUAGAAGCUGCUCCGGGACUGUCAAUUUCCACUUCAAAAAUAAAUAACUUUUCAGAAAACCAGAGUCUGCCAUUUCUACCAUUUUGAGAGACACACAUACAUGUGACAUCACGUCUGUUAUCUGCUUAAGCCACAUUGUUCGCGCCCUUGUGGUCGCCCUGUCAGGUCUUUGGGCUUCAUGGUGAUGUGUACUCAGGAUUUUCCUUUUAAAAAGAAACGAGCUUUUGAAAAAAACCAAUGCUUCCAUAACAGGGCUCAUCUUUCACCAGGGCUGGAACAGUGUAAACAUGACCGCAUGAGGCUCCGUGUUUAUGUUUUCUCAAUGACUUCCAGAUCAAAUUUGCUGUGUUUACAAGAUGGAGACACUUCUUCUAACCGCCGGCAUUGCAAAUUCAAACAGGGGUUUCGGGGGAGGGGGCGACGCCCCAGCUGGGCCUUCUCUGCCUCCACUGUCCUUGGGUCUGUGACAGUGAGUCUGAACACUGGCUUUUCAAACUUCAAUUGAAUCAAGAUGUCAAGAUCUUAUUCCUACUACUAUUAUUACUAUUAUUUAAACCUUAAGGCUCAGGUCCAGAGGUCAGAUCCUGAUGAUAGAGGUAAUCUUUGUUGUUGUUUUUUUUCCUGCCACAUCCAUGGCAUAUGAAAGUUAUGAAAGUU